AAUAGCAAAUACUCAAAUGAGAACUUUGAGGACUGAAGUGGGGAAAGGUUCCAUGUGAACAGCAGUUGGACAUGGGUUAGUGGGCCCUAAGAGAUAGGGAAGCUCUGUUUGAAAGUGCGCACUCGUGCGCUGCUCCUCAAAAGGGAAGCCGGUUAAUAUUCCGGCACCUGGAUGUGGAUUCUCCAUGGCAACGUAACUGAACGCAGAGACACCGGCGGGGGCCCCGGGAAGAGUUCUCUUUUCUUCUUAACAGCCCAUCACCCUGAAAUCAGUUUGUCCGGAGCUAGGGUUUGACGGCCGGCAGAGCCCCGCACCUUUGCAGGGUCUGGGGCGCUCCUGACAGCCCUUGAAAAUCCACGGGAAGGAUUAGUUUUCACGCCAGGUUGUACUCAUAACCGCAGCAGGUUUCCAAGGUGAAAAGCCUCUAGUUGAUAGAACAAUGUACGCAAGGGAAGUCGGCAAAAUAGAUCCGUAACUUUGGGAAAAGGAUUGGCUCUAAGGGUUGGGUGCGUUGGGCUUUGGGGGGAUAUCCCCGGAGCAGGCGGGCACUAGCCGGGCAACCGGCCGGCGCCUGCCAGCAUCAGGGCGCGGACGCCCUGGGCAGGCCUCGGCCGUCCGGCGCACGCUUAACGACCAACUUAGAACUGGUAUAGACAAGGAGAUUUUUAUUUUUUUAUUUCUUCAUUGAGUGUAUGGAGUCUAAGACUAUGACACUUUCUGACUAGUAGUACAUAUAAUGAGAAACCCUUCUCUGUGCCUCUGGUAUUUGUCAAUUUAGUAGUCAGCUAUUACUGGU
rnacentral:ncRNA from 1 species